GUCUUGGUAGUCUAAAGGCUUAGGACGCUCGCACGGAAUGCAAGAGAUCUGGGUUCGACUCUCGGCCGAGGCA
rnacentral:tRNA from 1 species